GGGGAGAAACGUCAGCAGCGAGGCGCUGCUCUCCGAGCCCCUGAACCCCCGCCAGGCUCCUCCUGUGCGGGCUGCCACGUGACAAGGCUGUGCUGGCCACAUAGCCCCAUAGGACGGCGGUCACCGGAAAUCACUUUUUGUGAAGUGCUGUACCGCUAUCUCUGAAGGCCUGUGUGCCGGGAACAUUCGCCCAGGUUGGAGGAUGCUGAGUCCAGAUGGGGAGGAAUGGCCACCCUCACAGAGCUCUCAGCUGCCUUUUGCAUUUGCCACUGAGCUCCGGAAUGAGGGAUGACCUCGGGCUGCGGCUACUACUGGUGGGGUCUGGCCGGGUCCCACUGUCAAGA